GAAGCUCAUGGCAAAGCAGUACAACCUUAAGCUUCUGCACAAAGAGCUGCCAUCCCAGCUGUGUCUCUGGGUGGACAGCCUUGAAUCACUCUGGGAGCAUAGCAGUGACCUUCCUGAGUAGCUGAAUUUUGCAGGUGUGCAUUAAAUGGCUCCAAGUUAUAAGCUGUCUGUGAAGACCCCCUGGACUCCGAUGAAGAUGUGCUAGAUGAAGAUCUCAGUGCUUCACUCUCAACCUCUUUUGAACAGAACUGUUACAGCUGCUUCAGCUGCAUUUGUAGAAAGGGAGCCACGCAAAGCUGAACACUCACAAAUAACAGUGAGAAUCCCUUUUCCAGCGGCACAUGCAGUCAGCACUUUCAUUCAUCUCUGCAUUAACAACCAAUCACACAGUGCCUGCAACAGUCAUUGCCACGGAGUUAUCAAAUUUUUCAGCUGCAAACUCUGAUCCCUACAGAGAUUAAAUCACAGAAGCAACCCAAACAAAAUCAGUGGAGUGCAGCUAAUGAAGUGCAUGCACGGAUCUGCACAAAGUCACAGCCCUGAGUAUUUAUCAGGCACCAAAUGGGCUAGUAACCAGAUGCUGAAAGAAAACACAAAUAAAAAGAAAUAAAACAGCACCACCUCAGUAAAUAUAUAUAUAUAUAUGUCAGAAGUGAAAGACAAAUACGAGUCAACUUUUGUCAAUAUAAAUGACAGAAGACAAUUGAAAGGAAAAUAAAAGAAUCAAACUGUAACCUUGAAAGAUCCCACAAACAAAGAGGUCAACUGAAAACUCUAGUUUAUGUUAUCUGAUAUUACUCCAGGCUUCUUAGUGCUGACAAAAAAAGCAAGGCUGUCUCUAGAACAAACUGCUGGGCUGAAAAGAAGUACAAAGCCUCAGAAGGAUGAUCAUUCUUCCCAAAGCUGCCCCACACACCAGAUGUGAAUUGUGCCGAGGGACACGAGCCCUGGGAGAGCACAAGGAGAAACAGAAGAUUAAAAGUCAACAAAAAACACAACAUAUUUGCUGGUGCUGCUGACUGAGAAGGCAGCUUGAGAGAGCUGAGAGAACAGCAGCAGAAGAGGAUGGUCUGAUGCCAGAGAAUCAUUAACCAUGGAAAUAAUAAUAGCAAAAUAAAUCAUGCAAAUAGCUGAAGCUUUCUUGCUUGAAGGUAUAAUGUACCACUGCUGGCUUCCUGAAUAGAAGAAAUACAUCUCCUACCUAUACAACCAUUGUGGGACAUAAGUCUUCUUUAUAACUAUCCACAUCUGUUUAUAUAGAUCAAAAUAAAGCAAUUUGGAUAAGACUG